GUUCUGCACCCGGGACCGGCUGUUUCCUCACCAGGCACUCACUGGUUUGCGAAUUAUGCUUUGAAAAUUUCCCAGUGGACAUUAACCAUUAACCAGCCACAACUUCCCUGGGCUCCUCCUGUGCCUCCCAGGGCUGUUCCUCCUCUGUUGUUAUCUGGCUGCAGCUCUCAGAUCCAGAGACAUCAGGGUAAGAAAAUAUGUUCAGCUGAUGCACCAGCAGAAAUUCACCUGACUGCAGGCUCUGAAAAUCUGCCUUAUAAAUUCCUCUUGUCUUUAUAAAACACUGAGCAAAACUAAAAAAUUCUUCUGCAAGAAGCUGGAUGGAUGAACUUGGAACAACCUCUGAAGUGAUUACCCUGGCAAGAACAGCGAGUUCCUCCUGAGGAGGCAUUAAAGUCAGUUCAUGUGAUGCACACUUUUGGGUUCCCACCUCCCACAGGAACACAUCAGAAGACAAGGUCUCUUACUGUAACUUUUCCCCAAUGAAACACCAGGAAAAACAUCAUUUAUCUUUUAGUGUCUUGAGGAAUCUGUCUGAACCUCUGGGUGUGGGACACACUGUGUUUGGCAGUCACGGGCAUGGAUCAGCGCAAGGACAGCAGUUUAUUCCUCCAGCCAAUAGGAAGAAGAUGGUUUGUACUGGUGAAUCUCUGCUGAGGGUGGAAGGAGCCAAGAACUUCCAUAACUGCCCCUACAAAGGAUUCCCACAGAGCUUUGUUUUGUGUGACUGUGGAAAAAGAGGUGGAUUUGUGUUGCCUGUAAGCUCAUCCCAUCACUGCUGAGCGCUUUGUUUAUCCAUUCUCCAGGAAAGAUGCACUGUGCUGUCAUGUUUGAUUGUUAGGAGGUUUUAUGAGGUCUCUGCUGGAAUAACUUUAAGGUUGUUCUGUCCUGAGGCAGGAGCACCAAGGCUCUCCUGCUCUCGCUGGGGCGUGUGGAACACUGAGCUGCCAUGAACUGAACUCUUCAGCGUGCAGAGAACUGUCCCAGUGAGCAGAGCUGUGCUCAUUUACUCCCUGCAGAGAAAUCACAUUUGCUCCCACAGCAUUUUCUCUUGGGAGGAGCAGUUAUUGGCUUGUGUCACAAGCAUCCUGUCUCUCCUCGGUGAUUUAUUCCUCCAGGCACACACGGAUCCCUUUCACCGCUCAGGGAUCCAAAUUCCACUCCCAUCCACUGCAGGAGUGUGUGGGGCUGUGAGCACAGAAAUUGCUCUUGGGUAUCAGUUCCAGUUCAUCUGGUUUUGUUUCUGGUGCAGUGCUGCAGAGUGUGGUGUGUGUGUACAAACACACACGUGCUUGCAGGGAUAAAAGGCCUCAGCAGCCUCCUGUAUCCAUUAGCUGACCCAAAUUCUGCCCAGACUUGCAGAGCCUGUCAGGAUAACCAGAAUAGCAGUAGAUAAUCAGAAUGGCAAAAUUCCCCUUCUUCUUUUACCUGCUGCAGCUGGUUUGAGGGCAGUAUAUUUCUAUAAGUAUUUUAUAUAUAAAUAAUAGUCAGUAUUCUAUUAGCCUGUACAUUAUUAUGCAUAGGGUAACAUUUUUCUUGUUUUAAGGGUGAAUAAAACAAUCAAAUUCAAGACA
ensembl:lncRNA